AUUCAUAUUAUUUGACAUUUUCGUUCACUUCACAUAUUUUGGCAUUUUCAUCAAAAUUUCCGUAAUUAAAUUAGUACCUUACAAAAUUUAAAUAUAAAACAAGAACCAGAAGGAUAUAGGUUAAGAUAGCAAAUAUGAAUACAGAAUAGCACCCACAAAAUACGUAUAUUUCUUAAUGGAUUUAAGAGAUUUUUGAAUGAUCAGGAUAAGUUUUGCGAUCUUUGCGAAAACUCUAACGAUCAUGUGUAAUGCAUAAUUACUUCGACUCUAAUGAAACUAAGCAAGUUAUGGACUUCAUGUAUUCCCGUAUGAAAUUCAAAAAUCAAUUGAAAAAAUUAGAAAAUGGAAAAGAAGUUAAAAAAUAAUACCCCUUUUGUGUACCAGUUUAUUGGGUAUUAGUAUAUUCGAAUUUGGAUAGAAGAAUGGUACUAUUCAUGGAUUUCAGAACUAAAAUAGACCUUAGAUCAAAACAUGAAGAAGACAAUAACUUGCGUUAUAAACACUCUGGACGAGAAAUUAACCCAACUAUGUCUAAAAACCAGUUUGAGAUGUCAUCAUGUAAGAUUGCACUUAAAAUUUGAUUUAACUAUGUAUCUUUGGUAUCCAAUCCUCUAUUCUAUUGUGAAGGACCAUGGGAACCGAACAAUUCUGACAUGAAAAUUAAUUGAUUUUUUUUGAUUAUUGAACGAAGGAGAUGAGAAGAGUCGCAUCUCACCAUGAUGGCUACCAAAUUGAACCCUUUUUCGUCUUAAUUUUAAUAAAGAAUUAAUGGACGAAAUUAAA